UUCACUUUCAUUUCCUUGUUUAAAAGUAUCCAAACAAAGCGUAGAACCCCCAAAAUCCCUGCAUCUCUUUCUCCUGCAAGUAUAGCGUUCAAUUUCACGGGGAGACUGUCACUGACCGUGCUUCCGAUUGGACAGUAGGGAUCCGGGGAAAUUAAAGCCAAGGAAAACAAAAAUGUCCUCAUCGUCGAGCAGUGGUUUAACAUUCAAGCUACACCCACUUGUCAUAGUUAACAUCUCCGAUCACUAUACGCGGGUCAAAUCUCAGAUGAACCCUCCCGUUACCUCCACCGCCACCAGCUCCUCCUCUAGUACUACUACUAACAACAGCAACGGCUCCGGCGAUGGUGGUGUCACUGCUGUUUCAGCUGCAGCACCGCCACCCAGAGUGUACGGAUGCGUUAUAGGAGUGCAGAGGGGACGCAUCGUUGAGAUCUUCAACAGUUUUGAGCUUCUCUAUGAUCCCGUCACCCACUCCCUAGACCGAGCUUUCCUUGAGAAGAAGCAAGAGCUCUAUAAGAAGGUUUUCCCCCACUUUUACAUACUGGGAUGGUAUUCAACGGGUAGUGACGCUGAGGAAUUCGAUAUGCAUAUUCACAAGGCUUUGAUGGAUAUUAAUGAAAGCCCUGUUUAUGUUCUACUUAAUCCUUUAAUCAAUCCGGCCCAGAAGGAUCUGCCUGUGACUAUAUAUGAAAGUGAGCUACAUGUCAUAGAUGGCAUUCCACAGCUUAUCUUUGUUCGUUCAAGUUACACAAUUGAGACAGUAGAAGCUGAAAGAAUCUCAGUUGAUCAUGUGGCGCAUCUUAAGCCAUCUGAUGGAGGCUCGGCAGCAACACAAUUGGCUGCUCACCUUACUAGCAUACAUAGUGCCAUCAAAAUGUUGAAUAGCAGAAUUAGGGUGCUUCAUCACUAUCUUGUUGCAAUGCAGAAAGGUGAAAUUCCUUGUGAGAACUCAUUAUUAAGACAAGUAUCAAGCCUUUUGAGAAGAUUGCCAGCCAUUGAAUCCGAAAAAUUUCAAGAUGAUUUCUUGAUGGAAUACAAUGAUACAUUAUUGAUCACAUACCUGGCCAUGUUUACUAACUGCUCAAGGUACGACACAUUUCUCCUUUUGGGGAAUUUCUUUAUCUUCAUGUGUUUCUUUUUGCUAUAAUUUUUUUUUAAAUUUUUCGGUGAAAUUGAUAAGAUAUGAUUUCUUAUUGAAAUUGAAUAAACAAACAAAUUGGCAUGAUCAAGGAAAAAGAAAAAUAUAGUGCAAGGAGUGACAAUAAUUUAAGGAGUGACAAUAAUUUGAUUAAUUGCUAUACACCAUAGAGUGAAGCACUUCAGAUCUUGAACUUUCUAAUGCAAUAAUAAACCUUUAACUUUAGAACUUUGCUGAAGUAAAAAAUAACAAGUAUUGUGAUUUCUAUUUUGAUGUAAUAAGAUUUUCCUCUGGUGAAAUGUGACAAUGUUUGUGGUUAAAUAUGAAUGAGCCUGUCUGCUUAAUUGCUGGCAUAAGUACAUUGUUUCAUGCUUAUAGUAGAAAGGAAAGGGUAAAGAAGGGGUAUAUGAGUGAUGUUGCAUAUGGUCAUGUAUAUACAUCCGAAGUAUACAUCAUAUAGAUAUGAUCAUGUGAAUUAUGGCAUAAUGUUGCUAAAACUGCAAUUCCAUGGACUUGAUCAAAUUAAUUCACUCAAUAUCAUCUUUGUCUUUUAUCCAUGAUAUAAGCUAACUGUGGCUCCUUUUCAUUUUAUCCAGCACAAUGAAUGAGCUAGUUGACAAAUUCAACACUGCCUAUGACAGGCAUAGUCGAAGGGGUGGACGAACUGCUUUUAUCUGAAACUUUUUAUAGCUCUUGUAUGGAAGUAAAUGCUGAUUUCAUAACCAUUCAAGGAUUAAGUGCUUUCUUUUUUCUUAAAUGUGCAUAGCACAUAGAAUCUCAGGAAUUAUAAUUCCUAGAAACUGAACAAUUCAAAAAGUAGAAAUCGAUUGCCUGUGUUCUCUUGCUUUUAUUAUUUUCACAUUGUCCCAUUAGAUUUGAUUGGAUUCUUGUAGUAGAAAUGCAUAUUAAAAAUGGCCAUGAUUGUAGAUUGUGGUGUUUGUUUCAGGUUUGGCCAUUUUAUUAGUUAUAAUUCUCAAUUUAAAUAGAAAUAUUGGAUGAGAUGGAAAAGUUUGGUCCAUGUCUAACGUUGUGUAGGCGAAAUGUGUUGGAUAU
rnacentral:misc_RNA from 1 species